rnacentral:rRNA from 1 species
UACGAAGGGGGCUAGCGUUGCUCGGAAUCACUGGGCGUAAAGCGCACGUAGGCGGAUUGCUAAGUCAGGGGUGAAAUCCUGGAGCUCAACUCCAGAACUGCCCUUGAUACUGGGCGGUCUCGAGUCCGGGAGAGGUGAGUGGAACUGCGAGUGUUAGAGGUGAAAUUCGUAGAUAUUCGCAAGAACACCAGUGGCGAAGGCGGCUCACUGGCCCGGUACUGACGCUGAGGUGCGAAAGCGUGGGGAGCAACAGG